GACGAACGCUGGCGGCGUGCCUAAUACAUGCAAGUAGAACGCUGAAGGAGGAGCUUGCUCUUCUGGAUGAGUUGCGAACGGGUGAGUAACGCGUAGGUAACCUGCCUGGUAGCGGGGGAUAACUAUUGGAAACGAUAGCUAAUACCGCAUAACAGUAGAUGUUGCAUGACAUUUGCUUAAAAGGUGCAAUUGCACCACUACCAGAUGGACCUGCGUUGUAUUAGCUAGUUGGUGGGGUAACGGCUCACCAAGGCGACGAUACAUAGCCGACCUGAGAGGGUGAUCGGCCACACUGGGACUGAGACACGGCCCAGACUCCUACGGGAGGCAGCAGUAGGGAAUCUUCGGCAAUGGACGGAAGUCUGACCGAGCAACGCCGCGUAAGUGAAGAAGGUUUUCGGAUCGUAAAGCUCUGUUGUAAGAGAAGAACGAGUGUGAGAGUGGAAAGUUCACACUGUGACGGUAUCUUACCAGAAAGGGACGGCUAACUACGUG
rnacentral:rRNA from 1 species